UAAAACCAUCAUAUGUAUAGCGUUAAUGUGUCAGAUCCAAUUAGAACUUCAUAUUUAAGCGCGCUUGGGCUAGAGUAGUACUGGGAUGGGUGACCUCCUCGGAAGUCCUAGUGUUUUAC
rfam:Picea glauca, whole genome shotgun sequence.